rnacentral:misc_RNA from 1 species
GUAUUAGUUUUAUAGGUCAGAGACCCACAAAGGACAUUCUAAGACUUGUUUAUGGGGGAUAUAACAUAGACCACGACAUUGAAGGAUAGCUAAGGCGCAAAUCCCUCGAUCCAACAAGUCAACCCGUGAAGGUCGACCGUUGAGAGUCGUCGUAGUCUACAAAGGUUCACAGGUGGUAAAGAUGAAUUUGAAGUCGCGUUCACAUACUCCGAAGAGUCAGAUCGACAACCUCGUUAUUCAGUAAUGAUCCUUCCGCAGGUUCACCUACGGAAA